rnacentral:rRNA from 1 species
GACGAACGCUGGCGGCGUGCUUAACACAUGCAAGUCGAACGGAAAGGCCCUGCUUUUGUGGGGUGCUCGAGUGGCGAACGGGUGAGUAACACGUGAGUAACCUGCCCUUGCCUUUGGGAUAACUUCAGGAAACUGGGGCUAAUACCGGAUAGGAGCUCCUGCUGCAUGGUGGGGGUUGGAAAGUUUCGGCGGUUGGGGAUGGACUCGCGGCUUAUGAGCUUGUUGGUGGGGUAGUGGCUUACCAAGGCUUUGACGGGUAGCCGGCCUGAGAGGGUGACCGGCCACAUUGGGACUGAGAUACGGCCCAGACUCCUACGGGAGGCAGCAGUGGGGAAUAGUGCACAGUGGGCGGAAGCCUGAUGCAGCAACGCCGCGUGCGGGAUGACGGCCUUCGGGUUGUAAACCGCUUUCGCCUGUGACGAAGCGUUAGUGACGGUAAUGGGUAAAGAAGCACCGGCUAACUACGUG